UAAUUCGUCUAUAGCCUACCCAUUUUUUUGCAGCGUGACACAUACGAUGACACUACAGUACUGAGACUCGCCUGACACAAACUCGACGUACAUGUACCAACUAGCCAAGUUGAGCACAUAUUGAAAGCGAGGGAGAUGCUAUCCAGAACUAUCGACUAUUACAUCGAACGCGACUCAAACGCCAUCUCUUACGAGGAGAACACAACCGUAUCCAGGUUCAAAGUGAGAUUAGUCAAGGCUAUCGGCAGGAUACUAGUGGAAGCACACAAGCAAUUUGAAGAUAAACGCACUGGAAUCACGGAAGAAUUUAGAUAAAUAAAUACCUAUGUU